CGGGCUUAGUGAUCCGGUGGUUCCGUAUGGAAGGGCCAUCGCUCAACGGAUAAAAGCUACCCUGGGGAUAACAGGCUUAUCUCCCCCAAGAGUUCACAUCGACGGGGAGGUUUGGCACCUCGAUGUCGGCUCAUCGCAUCCUGGGGCUGUAGUCGGUCCCAAGGGUUGGGCUGUUCGCCCAUUAAAGCGGUACGCGAGCUGGGUUCAGAACGUCGUGAGACAGUUCGGUCCCUAUCCGUCGCGGGCGUAGGAAAUUUGAGAGGAUCUGUCCUUAGUACGAGAGGACCGGGAUGGACAUACCGCUGGUGUACCAGUUGUUCCGCCAGGAGCAUCGCUGGGUAGCUAAGUAUGGAUGAGAUAAACGCUGAAAGCAUCUAAGUGCGAAACUCACCUCGAGAUAAGAUUUCCCAUUACGUAAGUAAGUAAGAUCCCUGAAAGAUGAUCAGGUAGAUAGGAUGGAAGUGGAAGUGCUGCGAGGCAUGGAGCGGACCAUUACUAAUCGAUCGAGGACUUAACCAAG
rnacentral:rRNA from 1 species